rnacentral:rRNA from 1 species
UAGGGAAUAUUGGACAAUGGGUGAGAGCCUGAUCCAGCCAUGCCGCGUGCAGGAAGAAGGCGUUAUGCGUUGUAAACUGCUUUUUGCCAGGGGAUAAAAAGACCGUGCGCGGUUAAUUGAAGGUACCUGGUGAAUAAGCCACGGCUAACUACGUGCCAGCAGCCGCGGUAAUACGUAGGUGGCAAGCGUUGUCCGGAUUUAUUGGGUUUAAAGGGUGCGUAGGUGGCCCUGUAAGUCAGUGGUGAAAUAUCUCAGCUUAACUGAGAGGGUGCCAUUGAUACUGCAGGGCUUGAGUACAGAUGAGGUAGGCGGAAUUGACGGUGUAGCGGUGAAAUGCAUAGAUAUCGUCAAGAACACCGAUAGCGAAGGCAGCUUACCAAGCUGUAACUGACACUGAGGCACGAAAGUGUGGGGAUCAAACAGGAUUAGAUACCCCCGUAGUCCCUGAGCGGGCUGGCAAGGC